CAGGCCUAACACAUGCAAGUCGAACGAUACCUUUCGGGGUAUAGUGGCGCACGGGUGCGUAACGCGUGGGAAUCUGCCCUGGGGUUCGGGAUAACCGUUGGAAACGACGGCUAAUACCGGAUGAUGAUGAAAAUCCAAAGAUUUAUCGCCCUGGGAUGAGCCCGCGUCGGAUUAGCUAGUUGGUGGGGUAAAGGCCUACCAAGGCGACGAUCCGUAGCUGGUCUGAGAGGAUGAUCAGCCACACUGGGACUGAGACACGGCCCAGACUCCUACGGGAGGCAGCAGUGGGGAAUAUUGGACAAUGGGCGCAAGCCUGAUCCAGCAAUGCCGCGUGAGUGAUGAAGGCCUUAGGGUUGUAAAGCUCUUUUAUCCGGGACGAUAAUGACGGUAUACGGAGGAAUAAGCCCCGGCUAUCAUGGUGCCAGCAG
rnacentral:rRNA from 1 species